rnacentral:rRNA from 1 species
GAUGAACGCUAGCGGCAGGCUUAAUACAUGCAAGUCGUGGGGCAGCAGGUCUGUAGCAAUACAGAUGCUGGCGACCGGCAAACGGGUGCGGAACACGUACACAACUUUCCUUUAAGUGGGGAAUAGCCCAGAGAAAUUUGGAUUAAUACCCCGUAACAUAGUGAAAAGGCAUCUUUUUAUUAUUAUAGCAGCAAUGCGCUUAAUGAUGGGUGUGCGUCUGAUUAGGUAGUUGGCGGAGUAAUAGCCCACCAAGCCUACGAUCAGUAACUGGUGGGAGAGCACGACCAGUCACACGGGCAAUGAGACACGGGCCCGACUCCUACGGGAGGCAGCAGUAAGGAAUAUUGGGCAAUGGACGCAAGUCUGACCCAGCCAUGCCGCGUGGAGGAUGAAGGUCCUCUGGAUUGUAAACUUCUUUUAUCUGGGAAGAAAUCCAUCUUUUCUUGGGUGGUUGACGGUACCAGAUGAAUAAGCACCGGCUAACUCCGUGCCAGCCGCCGCUGUAAAAC